UACGUAGGGGGCAAGCGUUGUCCGGAUUUAUUGGGCGUAAACGGCGUGUAGGUGGCCACGCCAAGUCGGAUGUGAAAUCUCCCGGCUCAACUGGGAGGGGUCAUUCGAUACUGGUGGGCUCGAGGCCGGUAGGGGGAAGUGGAAUUCCCGGUGUAGUGGUGGAAUGCGUAGAUAUCGGGAGGAACACCAGUGGCGAAGGCGGCUUCCUGGACCGGUUCUGACACUGAGGAGCGAAAGCGUGGGGAGCGAUCCGG
rnacentral:rRNA from 1 species